rnacentral:rRNA from 1 species
GACGAACGCUGGCGGCGUGCUUAACACAUGCAAGUCGAACGGGCUCUGGCAAUAGAGCUAGUGGCGGACGGGUGAGUAACACGUGAGCAACCUGCCCUAUACAACGGGAUAACACUGAGAAAUUAGUGCUAAUACGGUAUAAGACCACACUCGGGCAUCCGAGAGGGGUAAAAGCUGAGGCGGUAUAGGAGGGGCUCGCGGCCCAUUAGAUAGUUGGUGAGGUAACGGCCCACCAAGUCGACGAUGGGUAGCCGACCUGAGAGGGUGAUCGGCCACAUUGGAACUGAGAUACGGUCCAAACUCCGACGGGAGGCAGCAGUGGGGAAUAUUGGGCAAUGGAGGCAACUCUGACCCAGCAACGCCGCGUGAAUGAAGAGGGCCUUCGGGUUGUAAAGUUCUUUAAUUGGGGACGAAGAAAGUGACGGUACCCAAAGAAUAAGCCUCGGCUAACUACGUGCCAGCCGCCGCCGUAACAC